AAAGCUCGACCGAUAGGUCCGAGGAGGCACUGCAACAUGUUAGUUCAACAAUAUACAACAGAUAUAUAUAUUCAAUUGAAAUACAUGCCAUGCCUCAAGAUAUGCGAUAUGGAAGUCAUGCAACACUAUGCAACAUCUAGUAGAUCAUUUGAUUCUACGCUUUACUUAGCUACUCUUAGCUCAUAUCUUUACUCUAAGGUUUUUAUUACCUUAGGAUCUCAACUCGGUCCACUGGCUUCUAAGGUCUCUACUACCUUAGCUCAAGCCUCUAAUCUCUAGCUCAUAAGGGUUCCUCUACCCUAACGAAGCUAACCACACGACUCGGCGUCGAGUCAAUCAUCCGCGGAUAGCCCGCGCACUGGCUGCUCAUCAGCCUACCGCCCUCUCUGUCUCAGCCCCCUAGCGGCGAAGUCGUCGCACACGCUAAGCUCGGCUCAAGUCGCACGACUUGACCAUCUGGCGACGAUCACGUUGCUCUUACCCAGCGUGAGCUCGAGUCACGACACACCGUCUGGCGGUGAACGGAUCGCACCACACCCAACAACGGUACAUGUCAGACUCAGCCACCUGGAGGCACCCGUACCGUACUUAUCCAGCAUGGAUUCAGUCUGCUCUGGCGGUCUGAUCCUCAAAUGGCUUAACCAUCCUGGCGGUGAAAUCGUCGCACAAACGCCACGGCAAUGGCUCAAGGCCCGGGCGGUGAUCUCCAUGUGAUCGCCCCAAUCCUCCCUCGGUACCAAGCUCGGCGGCGAAGUCGUCACACAAACGCCCUAGCUUCUACCAGGGUCAUCACAAGUCAUGGGAUUCCGGAAUCCACUUUCCACAGGUCAAGGGUCCAUAGCCAACCCUAUACUUUCGACCUAGCUCAUCCUAGUGGCUAUACCACUAUACUCAUCAACCUAGGUUCCAACACUCUAGGUUCUAUGUCCAUGUCACUUAACCUAGAUAUACUUGCUAGGUUCUUGUCAUCUUUGCCUAGAUGUUCACUUCUAGGUUUACUAGUUCGACCUAGGUUUACUAUUACUAGGUUCGAUGCCACAAACCUAGAUUGUUCAACUCUAGGUUCACUUAUUUAACCUAUGUUCUUUAACACUAGGUUAGAUGCCACUCGAUCUACCUGACAACCUAGUUGUCCAAUCAUCUCGGCUCACGCUAGAGUUAUCAUCUAGCUCAUAUGCAUGUUUUACUUGAACUAGCAUUAUUUAUGUGUCAUGCUCACUAUGCUUUCUACUUAGCAUGGUCAUCUAUGCAUUAUUGUUACCAUGCAUUCUCUAUUUAGCCUUUACUCUAUGCAUAUUUAUUAAUGCACCAUUUAAUCUUGUCUACAUGCAUAUGCAUCAACAUGAGAUUAUAUUGCUAAGACAUAAAGGGCGACCUAGUCGCUUCGGUAAGCACAACCCACCUUAGAUAGCUUUUCGAUUGCUUGUCGACACUUGCAAUCGGCCUCCCGCGGCACUCGGCACCCGUUUGGGCCCGACCUCACAGUUGCUCCCCACGAGCGCGCCGCUUCGCCGUUUCAAGUGCUAGCGAUCUUUGCCUUGCCGCUACGGUGCUCGGGACCCGAUCUCACGAUUUAUGGACGUUGCCUCGGCCUCCCAGGCGGAAAUGGAGCUCCGAGUGCCCGUUUCUUCAAUGUCUUUGCAACGGCUUGUCGAAUUGCCGAACCGACUUCACCAACGUGUUUCGUUACCUACCAAUUAGGUUUCCGAGGGGUCAAAUGAGAUCAAACUCAUCUAUUUACAAAAACCCUCUUUGGAUGCCCUAGAAUGCCAUUUCUAGCAAAUCCACCAAAUCGAUCUAUGAUUUGGGUAUAGUCCAUCAAAAUAGCAUGCUAGGGCUCCAAACAAACUAACUUUAGAGAUCAAAACCCUAUCCCUAAAGAUCUACCAUGAGAGGGCUCCAAGCUUACCUCUCCAAGAGCUCCAUGGAAGAAGAAGAUGAAGAUGAAGAUGAGGAAGAGGAUCUCCUCCUUGGUCCUCUUCUUCUUUUCCUUUCCUUUCUCUUUUUCUUCUUCUCUUCUCUUUUCUCUUUUCCUUUCCUUCUUUUCCUCCCUUGCACGAUCGGAGAGAGGGAGAGGCAGUGAGGGAGUGAGAGAGGGAGAGAAAUACAUCUCUCUAAUAACCCCUCUCAUAUUGUAACAAAAUGUUAUUAGGUCCCUCCACUUUUCAUCUCUUACACAGCCCUUACUGGGCGUUCUGCGCGCUGAGGGACCGGUCCCCGAGAGCUCUCCCCGGUAUCACGCGUUCGGGAACCAGUCUCUCCCCGAGAGACCGGUCCUCGGGAGACCGGUUCCUCUCGAAGAGACCAGUCCCCGAGAGCUCAUCUCGCGGGACUUAGCCAAUUUUGGCUCUUCUCACUAAUGUCGCAGGCUGGGACCGGUCCCUCCCCUGCCAGGGACCGGUUGCAUCAGCAACCCCGCAGCCUUCAGCUGAUGGGACCGGUCUCUCACCUCCAGAGACCGGUCCCCGAGAGCAACCUCAGCCCAAAAAUGCAGAUUGCAUUAUUUGCUCUCGCGGACUCCGUUCCAAUGCACUUCUUGGGUUUCGUGCAUCCUAGGCUUUUCCAAAGCCUAUCCAUUCGACCCUUAGUCGAUCCUGGACAAAAUGAAACUCUCGGAUUUCGAGAACUCACAUUGUUACAUUCUCCCCUCCUUAAAAAGAGUUUCAUCCGCGAAACUCACUCAUUUCUAAC
rnacentral:lncRNA from 1 species